GCGCGAUAGUGUAGUGGUUAAGUAGGCUUGACCUGGGAUCAAAAGGUCCUGAGGUUCAAGUCCUUGCCGCGGCC